AGAGUUUGAUCCUGGCUCAGGAUGAACGCUGGCGGCAUGCCUAAUACAUGCAAGUCGAACGAGAGGAAGGAAAGCUUGCUUUUCUGAAUCUAGUGGCGUACGGGUGAGUAACACGUAGGUAACCUGCCCAUGUGCCCGGGAUAACUUCUGGAAACGGAUGCUAAAACCGGAUAGGUAGCAGACAAGCAUUUGACUGCUAUUAAAGUGGCUAAGGCCAUGAACAUGGAUGGACCUGCGGUGCAUUAGCUAGUUGGUGAGGUAACGGCCCACCAAGGCGACGAUGCAUAGCCGGCCUGAGAGGGCGGACGGCCACAUUGGGACUGAGACACGGCCCAAACUCCUACGGGAGGCAGCAGUAGGGAAUUUUCGUCAAUGGGGGGAACCCUGAACGAGCAAUGCCGCGUGAGUGAAGAAGGUCUUCGGAUCGUAAAGCUCUGUUGUAAGAGAAAAACGACAUUCAUAGGGAAUGAUGAGUGAAUGAUGGUAUCUUACCAGAAAGUCACGGCUAACUACGUGCCAGCAGCCGCGGUAAUACGUAGGUGGCGAGCGUUAUCCGGAAUGAUUGGGCGUAAAGGGUGCGUAGGUGGCAGAACAAGUCUGGAGUAAAAGGUAUGGGCUCAACCCGUACUGGCUCUGGAAACUGUUCAGCUAGAGAACAGAAGAGGACGGCGGAACUCCAUGUGUAGCGGU
rnacentral:rRNA from 1 species